UUUUUUUUUUUUUUUGGUCUUUUUGUCUCUUCUAGGGCCGCUCCCACGGCAUAUGGAGGUUCCCAGGCUAGGGGUCCAAUAGUAGCUGUAGCCGCCGGCCUAGGCCAGAGCCACAGCAACACCAGAUCUGAGUCGCAUCUGCAACCCACACCACAACUCACGGCAAAGCCAGAUCCUUCACCCACUGAGCAAGGCCAGGGAUCGAACCUGCAACCUCAUGGUUCCUAGUCGGAUUCGUUAACCACUGUGUGGAUGUAGUAAUGACAGUUUUAAAUACUUUCUCCAAAAUGAGUCAUUCAGUUAUUUUUUUUUCUUUAUAUAGAUUUUUUUAAAAACAUCGCUGACAGUUUAACAUGGUUCCCUGUCGCAGGCUGUUUAUAGUAAAACAUCUGUAUAUGUAUGUUUGCAUGUUCCUCAAGCACUUGGCUUUUGCAAAUGGACCUAAAUGAGAAGGAUGGUGGAUUUCUAUUCAUAACCUCUGUUGUCAACUCACUUGAUUUUGUUUUUGUUCGUUUUUGUUUUUGUUUGUUUUUGUUUUCUUAGGGCCACACCUGCGGCAUUUGGAAGUUCCAUCCCUGACCUCAUUCAGUGGGUUAAGGAUCCGGCAUUGCCAUGAGUUGUGGUGUGGGUUGCAGACGCGGCUGGGAUCCUGCAUUGCUGUGGCUGUGCUGUAGGCUGGGAGCCACAGCUCCAAUUCCACCCCUAGCCUGGGAACCUCCAUAUUCCACGGGUGUGGACCUAAAAAGCAAAAAAAAAAAAAAAAGGAAGAAAGAAAAGAAAAAGGUCUGAAAUGUAGCCUCUCAACUGACCCUUCUAAGGAGUGUUUCAGAAAAAAAGGCCUAAGACUGAAGAUGCAGCCUAAUAAAAACUGAACAUUUGAGGCAUGUGUCCGCACAUUUUAGCAAAGAAGUUCUGUUGAGUCAAACAACUUGGGUAGUUGAGGCUGUAUCUGAAUUUCUUUGGUUUUCCAGACGACGGCCCGAAGUCUUAUUUCCCUUUUUCCUAACCAACCUUGUUGGGUUAAGGAUCUGGCGUUGCCGUGAGCUGUGGCGUAGGUCACAGAUGCGGCUCAUAUCUGUGUGGCUGUGGCUGUGGCUGGCAGCUGCAACUCCAGUUUGACCCCUAGCCCAGGAAUUUCCAUAAGCUGCAGGUGCAGCCCAAGAAGAAAAAGAAAAAGAAAACCAGCGAAAACCAGAUAAAUGUCUGUAUUGCCUAAUCCCCCCAAUAAAGCCCUGCUUUCCCCUCUCUCCCUCUCCCCCUCCUCUUCCUUGUGACCUGGUUCCAGCCACACUGUACAAAAGGGACCCGUGUCUGCUCCCACCUUAGGCCUCUGGGCCAGAGUGUCCUCUGGCCAUGCUCAUCUUCCCCUGGUUUUUGCACAACUGUCCCUACUUCAGAUCUGUCAUUCAGAUGUCCGCUUAAACAUCACUCCCUGAGAGGGGCCUUUCCUAUCAUCUCAGUUCCGCAGGGCCCCUCACUCUGCUGCUUUGCCUUUUUAUUAGCCUCUCUCUGAUUCGUGUAUCCUCUGACGUCCUUCAUUAGAACGGGAAACUGGGGCCGGGUGCACUCACUCCGAAAUGUGUCGCGUGAACGUGAGGUGGUUUCCAGUAACCUGGUACGGCUACUUAGAGGGCACUCCCUGGAUGGCAGAGCUUGGUGUAGACAGGAAUGCAGAUGGAAUUGCCGGUAAACUCCUGCUUUUGAGCAGUGGUAGACUGAAAAAUGGGUGGUGAUUGUGUUUGCUUAAUGGUAGCAUGCUUUUUUGGGAUAGCUUUUACUUUAAAUAGAAUUCUCAAAAUAGAGAUAAGGGAUGGCUUUAAGAUUUUUGUUUUAAAGCCAAAUGCGCUGUAGAAGUUCAGGUGAGUUACGUAAGUCGGGGAAGGAACUAGGUCAGAGUGUAGGGCUCACACAUUUCCUAUUGAUUCUAGAAGGUGGGGGGGUGUUUGAUUGUAAAUUUUUGAGAGGUUGAUUCAGCUGGUAUUAACACUCAUUCAGUGCACUCAGAACAGUUCUGACCAAAGACCUGCCCUGUGCCUAGGAAUGUGCCCUGCCUCGUGAAGGCCUAGAAAGGACUGGGAAAAAAAGGGUCCCUGCCGGUGUGCUCUCCCCAAAGUCGAAACAGGAGAGCUCAGAGCUGGUGGCCCCAGAUCGUGAUGGGCUUCUCCUGAGCUCUGCAAACACAGCAAGCAUCUUGUCCUACCUGGAUUGAGUGCGUUUCUGAUGGAGGUUAGGAGACACCGCCCUCCCAGCCCCUUAGGUCCUGUCCCAGCGACUCUCCUCUGGUGGGAAGUCAAAGGCAGCUGAUGGAUGGAGGGUUCUCCUUAGCGCAAGGCGGUAUGUGAGAUUUUUAAAAAUAGCUGUGGAUUAUCGUUGGCAUUCAGAGCUUUAGAGAUUACGGUAGGCUGGUUUGGGUCAGGAGGGGCUCGAUGGGAUUUUGAAACAUGAGGGAACUGGCACCCAGGGGGCGCGGCUAACGCGUGCCAGCCCUUCCUCUCCACCGGGUCCCGUUUCCAGAUCAGGAGACCGAGGUUUAGGUGGCACGAGUUUCCCAGGGCUCCUCGGAGGACAGUCGGUCGCAGAGCCAAGCCGGCACCUCUGAGAAGGCGGGAGCCGCUCUGCGGGGGGAGGGCGGAGGCGCGGGAGCCCUGCCCGCGGUGAGGAAGGGCUGUGGCUUGUACCUGGAAGGGGCUGGAAAGGGUGCCGGUGAGGCCUCCGAGCAUGCUCCCUCCUGUCCCCGCUCGGCCCUGGCGCGGCGGAACCACCUGCAGCCAGGCCGAGGGGACGGUCGCCGUCCUUCGUCACGCGUCUCGCCUGGAGCUGAUUUCCGUUUCUGCUCCCGCCUGUUUGGUCUGGACACGAGUGCGUGUGUAGGUCCGGGCGCGGGUGAUGGGAGCUCCUAGCCCCUGGGCACGUGCCGCCUCUUCGUUCUGCUGCACCUGCUUCGUGCCUGUGAGGCUAACCCCACCCCCUAAACGAGGGGGAGACAGAACACUGGCCUUGAGGCCGCAAGCCCAUCAGGGCCUUAGACCCAGGUGGCCGGGCUCUGGGGGAGCUGUGACAAGGACCCCGUUCCCAGGGAUAGAUCCUAAGUUCACUUUCUCGGGAGCUGGACCGCUUCACGUGGAAAGACAGGUCGUUGCGGACUAAGCAGGUGCGUGUUAAGCUGAGGACGCUGGUUUCGAACAUCCUCUCGCGAAGCCGCGAGCUGGGUGGGGGCCCAGGGCUCCCGUGUUACCAGCACGGGGUGCCCUCUCGGGCCUCCUCUGCCAGACCCCAGCCAGGCAGGAGGCCUUUGUCCCAGGCUGAGUGUGAUGGUGUCACUCCGUGUGGACGGGGCCGUCCCGUGUCCCCCGGCUGAGCCCUGCGCGGGGGAGGGGACGCCCGGCGGGGAGUCCGGGGCUCUUCCCUGUGGAUCCGUUUUAUGUUCGUAUCCGUUUCAUGUGCCGUGUAAGUGAUAUUUAAAACAAAGGCUAAAAAAUCACCGUCUGGCUGUUUCUUCACGUUGCAAAGGGAACAUAGGUCCCAGGGCAGGGCCGUUUUCCGUCUGAGCCUUCUUGCGUCGUUGCUGGAUGGCCUGGCAGGACUCUCGGAAGCACUGUGUGGUCACAGAAGUGUCAUUUGCAGAGUGGUGGAGCGGUCAGCACUGCCCGACCCUGCUGUUAGCAGUUGUCAGGUGGUCCCGUGGGAGCGCCUGGCCUUUGAAGCAGACCUUCCCAGGCUGGUCCAAGGCCACCUCAGCCCGUCCUUCCUGGGGCAGCCGAGGCACUCGCUCAGCCCCUGCGGCCUCUUGCCUGGCCGUGCAAUCCGAGGAUUGGCCAGGGCCAACUGGAUGAAAGAACCCGAGGGUCACCAUGUCCCAGCCCCGUGUCAGGGCCACAGGCUGCCUGACCAUCUGGAUUAAGUCCUCUUCCGGAGGUGCCUUGAGGCAGUUGCAUCUUUGGUGUUGGUUCCCGAAGAGGGCAUAGUGGUUAAAGAUGUUGGCAUUGGAGUUCCUGUUGCGGCUCAGCAGUAAUGAACCCAGCUAGUGUCCAUGAGGACACGGGUUCAAUCCCCAGCCUCGUUCAGUGGGUUAAGGAUCUGGCAUGGCUGUGGCUGUGGCUUCAGCCCGCAGCUGCAGCUCUGAUUCGACCCCUAGCCUGGAAACUUCCGUAUAUUGCAGGUGUGGCAC
rnacentral:lncRNA from 1 species